GCCCUUGUAGCGUAGUGGUUAGCGCAUCGCACUUGUAAUGCGAAGGCCGUCGGUUCAAAUCCGGCCUGGGGCU
rnacentral:tRNA from 1 species